UCUAGAGUUGAAAUUAGUUUCAAAAGAGUUUAGUCUUGUUUCGUUUUACUUUCAUUAUUAUAUCUGCCAAGAGUGGAAGCUUAAAAAAAAAAGACAACAGAAUGAAUUCAAUUGCUACAAAAGACUGAUUCAUAAAGGAAGGACAUCAGCAUCCCUUAGAUAUGUUUAUUGACCUACCCAAUCUGGACUCCACAGAUGAGCUCUCAUUAAGCUUUUUCAGAGACUUCUGCUUCCAUUGAAGACUUGAUCUCUCAAGUGACUGUACUUCCCUUCAAGUCCCCGAAAUGGAGCCUGCUCUGUCUCCUGCACCUCUCCAACCAGGGAUGGUGGAACCAUUCUGUUUUUCUCAGCUGUACCUCACCUUCCUUGGAAACUGAUUGUAGUUGCUGGAUACAGAUUCAUGGUUUGUUGUCUUACUCUG